rnacentral:tRNA from 1 species
GGUUGUGGCUCAGUGGUAGAGCGCUUGCCUAGCAUGUGCAAGGCCCUGGGUUCGAUCUUCAGCACCA